rnacentral:rRNA from 1 species
GACGAACGCUGGCGGCGUGCCUAAUACAUGCAAGUCGAACGCUUUUUCUUUCACCGGAGCUUGCUCCACCGAAAGAAAAAGAGUGGCGAACGGGUGAGUAACACGUGGGUAACCUGCCCAUCAGAAGGGGAUAACACUUGGAGACAGGUGCUAAUACCGUAUAACACUAUUUUCCGCAUGGAAGAAAGUUGAAAGGCGCUUUUGCGUCACUGAUGGAUGGACCCGCGGUGCAUUAGCUAGUUGGUGAGGUAACGGCUCACCAAGGCAACGAUGCAUAGCCGACCUGAGAGGGUGAUCGGCCACACUGGGACUGAGACACGGCCCAGACUCCUACGGGAGGCAGCAGUAGGGAAUCUUCGGCAAUGGACGAAAGUCUGACCGAGCAACGCCGCGUGAGUGAAGAAGGUUUUCGGAUCGUAAAACUCUGUUGUUAGAGAAGAAUAAGGAUGAGAGUAGAACGUUCAUCCCUUGACGGUAUCUAACCAGAAAGCCACGGCUAACUACGUGCCAGCCGCCGCCGUAA